rnacentral:rRNA from 1 species
UACAGAGGUGGCAAGCGUUGUUCGGAAUCACUGGGCGUAAAGGGCUCGUAGGCGGCCAACUAAGUCAGGCGUGAAAUCCCUCGGCUUAACCGGGGAACUGCGUCUGAUACUGGAUGGCUUGAGUUUGGGAGAGGGAUGCGGAAUUCCAGGUGUAGCGGUGAAAUGCGUAGAUAUCUGGAGGAACACCGGUGGCGAAGGCGGCAUCCUGGACCAACACUGACGCUGAGUGAGCGAAAGCCAGGGGAGCAAACGGG